rnacentral:rRNA from 1 species
UACGUAGGGUGCAAGCGUUGUCCGGAAUUAUUGGGCGUAAAGAGCUCGUAGGCGGUUUGUCGCGUCUGCUGUGAAAACCCGAGGCUCAACCCCGGGCCUGCAGUGGGUACGGGCAGACUAGAGUGCGGUAGGGGAGACUGGAAUUCCUGGUGUAGCGGUGAAAUGCGCAGAUAUCAGGAGGAACACCGGUGGCGAAGGCGGGUCUCUGGGCCGUAACUGACGCUGAGGAGCGAAAGCAUGGGGAGCGAACAGG